AUUGAACGCUGGCGGCAGGCCUAACACAUGCAAGUCGAGCGGAUGAAGGGAGCUUGCUCCUGGAUUCAGCGGCGGACGGGUGAGUAAUGCCUAGGAAUCUGCCUGGUAGUGGGGGAUAACGUCCGGAAACGGGCGCUAAUACCGCAUACGUCCUGAGGGAGAAAGUGGGGGAUCUUCGGACCUCACGCUAUCAGAUGAGCCUAGGUCGGAUUAGCUAGUUGGUGGGGUAAAGGCCUACCAAGGCGACGAUCCGUAACUGGUCUGAGAGGAUGAUCAGUCACACUGGAACUGAGACACGGUCCAGACUCCUACGGGAGGCAGCAGUGGGGAAUAUUGGACAAAGGGCGAAAGCCUGAUCCAGCCAUGCCGCGUGUGUGAAGAAGGUCUUCGGAUUGUAAAGCACUUUAAGUGGGGAGGAAGGGCAGUAAGUUAAUACCUUGCUGUUUUGACGUUACCAACAGAAUAAGCACCGGCUAACUUCGUG
rnacentral:rRNA from 1 species